AACGAACGCUGGCGGCAGGCCUAACACAUGCAAGUCGAACGCCCCGCAAGGGGAGUGGCGCACGGGUGAGUAACGCGUGGGAAUAUGCCCUUCGGUUCGGAAUAACACAGGGAAACUUGUGCUAAUACCGGAUACGAUCUACGGAUGAAAGAAUUAUCGCCGAGGGAGUAGCCCGCGUAGGAUUAGCUAGUUGGUGAGGUAAUGGCUCACCAAGGCGACGAUCCUUAGCUGGUCUGAGAGGAUGAUCAGCCACACUGGGACUGAGACACGGCCAAGACUCCUGCGGGAGGAAGCAGUGGGGAAUAUUGGACAAUGGGCGAAAGCCUGAGCCAGCCAUGCCGCGUGAGUGAUGAAGGCCUUAGGGUUGUAAACCGCUUUCAGCAGGGAAGAAGCCGCAAGGUGACGGUACCUGCAGAAGAAGCACCGGCUAACUACGUGCCAGCCGCCGCCGUAA
rnacentral:rRNA from 1 species